UGGGGAAUAUUGCACAAUGGGCGCAAGCCUGAUGCAGCCAUGCCGCGUGUAUGAAGAAGGCCUUCGGGUUGUAAAGUACUUUCAGUCGGGAGGAAGGUGGUAAGGUUAAUAACCUUAUCAAUUGACGUUACCGACAGAAGAAGCACCGGCUAACUCCGUGCCAGCAGCCGCGGUAAUACGGAGGGUGCAAGCGUUAAUCGGAAUUACUGGGCGUAAAGCGCACGCAGGCGGUUUGUUAAGUCAGAUGUGAAAUCCCCGGGCUCAACCUGGGAACUGCAUCUGAUACUGGCAAGCUUGAGUCUCGGAGAGGGGGGUAGAAUUCCAGGUGUAGCGGUGAAAUGCGUAGAGAUCUGGAGGGAUACCGGUGGCGAAGGCGGCCCCCUGGACGAAGACUGACGCUCAGGUGCGAAAGCGUGGGGAGCAAACAGG
rnacentral:rRNA from 1 species